GAUGAACGCUGGCGGCGUGCCUAAUACAUGCAAGUCGAGCGAACAGACGAGGAGCUUGCUCCUCUGACGUUAGCGGCGGACGGGUGAGUAACACGUGGAUAACCUACCUAUAAGACUGGGAUAAUUUCGGGAAACCGGAGCUAAUACCGGAUAAUAUAUUGAACCGCAUGGUUCAAUAGUGAAAUACGGUUUUGCUGUCACUUAUAGAUGGAUCCGCGCCGCAUUAGCUAGUUGGUAAGGUAACGGCUUACCAAGGCAACGAUGCGUAGCCGACCUGAGAGGGGGAUCGGCCACACUGGAGCGGGGACAGGGACCAGACGCCUACGAGAGGCAGCAGUAGGGAAUCUUCGGCAAUGGGCGAGAGCUUGACGGAGCAAGGCCGCGUGAGUGAUAAAGAUCUUCGGUGCGUAAAGCUCUGUUAUUAGGGAAAAACAAAUGUGUAAGUAACUAUGCACGUCGUGACGGUACCUAAUCAGAAAGCCACGGCUAACUACGUG
rnacentral:rRNA from 1 species